rnacentral:lncRNA from 1 species
UUUUUUUUUUUUUUUUUAUUUCUUUUGUCUCCUCUCAACCCUCCCUCCUCAAGACUGGGUUUCUCUGUGUAGCCCUGGCUGCCCUGGAACUCACCGUGUAGACCAGGCUGGCCUCACCAGCUUUCUUGUUUGUUUCUUUCAGACUUGAUUGGCUUUUCUUUCUUCUUCAGAAUUUCAAAGGCAUACCUUUUUCUUUUCUAGCUUCUGUUAUGUUCUUUGAAUCUCAAGCCAACUGGGUCUUGAUCUGUCUUCAGGAACCUGGCUCUGGAAACGGUUAGAAAGGCAGAAAGCGUCUGCUGUCGGGUAGGGUCCGGCUGGUAGCUGGACACCCCCUGCAGUCUGAAAAUUCAUAUUCUGCUUCUGGGAAACACUUUGAUUCAUUUCUUUUAUUUCUCCACUUCCUCUUCCUUUACUUCUCUUACCUAGGUUUAAAGGCCAGGCUUCCUGGAACAUCUUCUUAAUUUCCUUAUAUUUUACUUUCUCUGUUCAUUUUGCUCUAUCUUAGGGUUAUUUCCUCAAUCUUAUUAUUUGCUGGUAUAUCCCUAUUUUGUUUUUUAAAUGUGAUUCUAUUUUUAACGUUGAACAGACUUGCUUGUUUUCUGGGUGUUCCUUUUUCCUGCCGCUGUUGCUCAACGAGGGGUUUUUGUUCUUUUGAGACAGUCUCACUAUGUGGCCCUGUUGGUCUGAACUCACUAUGUAGAUCAGGCUGGCCUCAGACUCAGAGAUCUACAUGUCUCUACCUCCUAAAUGCUGGGAUUAAAGGCAUGCACCACCACACUUGGUUUUCAUAACACACCUAGUAGUUUUUUGAUGGAAUAUUCUCUUAAUUUCUCUAAGGAUGUUAAUGAUAAUUCCUUUGAAGUUUGAUUAACUACAGUAUAUUGAUCUAGCUUAUUAUUUGUUCUUGAUUUUUUUUUAUUAUGUCUAAUCUACAAACUGAAUUUUAUCAUAGGUAUGUGUAUAUAGGAAAAAUACAGUAUAUUAGGCCCCACACUUCCCUGUGUUUGAAAGUCCAGGAGUAUUAUGCUACAGAGCGACUGAGUUUAGUGACUGUGGUAUGUGUGCCUUUGGGAGUGACUGAGUCUAGUUAAGGAAGCUUUUCUUCCAUCAAGCCAAUCGAUGUCUGUGUCUCUGUGGGGUGCUGGCUGUAGAUACAGCUUAGUCCUUUGAAUGGACCUUGCUUUCUUGUAUCUUUGUUUUUUAGAAGUUUUUAGCCUUUCAUCUCAACCCCUACCACUAAAGAAGUCUAACUUGGAAUUUCUGAAGGUUCUACUCCUUAGCACAUAGGAGAUGGGUACGUGAGGGGGUUGUUUAUGUGUGGGCUGGGCUAUUGCUCUUUAUUGGGAGGAGGCUGUCUUGUGCACUCUGGGAUGUGAGGAAGAGCCACCCAUGUCUGUUGUCCUCCCCACAUGUGCUAACAGUACCCUCCUCCAGCUGUGGCAAUCAAAAUGUCUCCAGACAGUGACAUGUGUUCUCUCGGGGCACCACCACCUGUACUCACUUCAUGACCUGUCUAAAUCUUUUCAUUUUGGAAUUCUAUAAAGUCUAUAGGUUUUUGUCUUUGCUCUAGAGCUAAGACAUUGUCUUAGAUUUCCAUCGCUAUGAACAGACAUCGUGACCAAGGCAACCCUCAUAAAGAGAAACAUUUCAUUGGGGCUGGCUUACAGGUUCAGAGGUUCAGUCCAUUAUCAUCAUAACAGGAAGCCUGGAAGCCUGCAGGCAGACAUGAUGCUGGAGAAGGAGCUGAGAGUUCUGCAUCUUGAUUCAAAGGAAACCGGGAGAGACUGACAUCCUCAGACAGCUAAGAGGAAGCUCUCUUCCACAGCGGGUAGAGCCUGAGCGUAGGAGAUGACUGCCCAAGCUCACCCACAGUGACACACUUCCUCUAACAAGACCACACUUCCUAACAGUACCACUCUCUGUGGGCCAAGCAUAUUCAACCCACCACAUUUAUGUUUCCUAGAAAAGAAUUUAUCCAACGGCUGUAUGAGUUGGGACAGAAUUACCAGUGUCCCGGAAAUAGGUGAACAAAGCAGCUACGAGGGCUUGAUUUUAAGCACAUAUUCCCCACCCUUUGCAAGGUUAAAGAGUUUAUUGUGGUAGAGAAGGGGAUCAGAAAUUAAACCAUCCUCACCUUUGUCCUAUAUUCAGAAGAGCACACUGCCCCAGCCUCACCCCGCCAGGCCCUGGGUCCUGUGAUGAUGCAAACAGCCGCCUGCAAGAGCCCCGCUCUGCGGGCUGCCUUAGGAGAUGCAGCCCUGGAUUUGCUAAGCUGCUCCAGUUUGUACUUCUUGCAUCUAGAUUCUAAAAUUUUGUGCUGUUAUCUCUUUCCAAUUGGGCUUUUCCAUGUAGUUUUAUGCCUUAAGGAAACAACAACAACAACAAAACAAAACACCCCCCCC